UGGAAUGGCGACAGUAGGGAAUCCAAGCAGGCUUUGGUUAAAUAUGGGCCAGUUAAUUUCCACCACCUAAGAUUCCCUAAAGAUGAGAAGAAGAGGGUCAGUGCACAGUGCUCUUGGCCUGGAUGUCCUUGGAGCAUCUAUGGAUCAAUUAGCAGCAGGUCUGAUUGGCUACAAGUUGUGAGGUACAACAAUGAGCACACAUGCAUUCCUAGGAGGGACAACAAGCUGGUUACUAGCACAGUUAUUGCAAAAAAAUAUUUCAGGCAGAUUAGGGACAAUCCUACUUGGAGGGUGGAGAAAAUGCAAGAGGCAGUACUUGAGGAUUUGCUAGCUGAUGUGAAUCUCUCAAAGUGCAAAAGGGCUAAAAAGCUUGUCAUGGCAAAGCUCACUGAUAUGACCAAUGGUGAGUACUCUAGAGUGUUUGACUACCACCUAGAAUUAGUUAGAAGCAAUCCAGGGAGCACUGUAGCUGUUUGUUUAGAUCCAGACAUUCAUGACAAGCCAGUCUUUCAGAGAAUGUAUGUGUGCCUUGAGGGUUGCAAAAAAGGGUUUCUAGCUGGAUGCAGAAGAGUGGUGGGAUUAGAUGGCUGCUUUCUGAAAGGGGCAGUAACAAGGCAAAUUUUGUCUGCUAUUGGCAGAGAUGCUAAUAAUCAGAUGUACCCACUUGCUUGGGCCACAGUUGAGGUUGAAAGCUAUGAGUCAUGGUAUUGGUUUCUCUCACUUCUCCAAAAGGACCUACAGAUAAGCAAUCAUGGUGAUGGAUGGGUUUUCUUAUCUGAUCAACAGAAGGGUCUUAUCAGGUCUGUUAAUGAAAUUAUUCCUGAAGCGGAGCACAGAAUGUGUGCCAGACAUAUAUAUGCAAAUUGGAGGAAGCAACAUAGGGAGAAGAAAUUGCAGAAAAUGUUUUGGGCAUGUGCCAAGUCCUUUGAUAGGAGCCAGUUCAACUACAACAAAGCCAAAUUAGCACAGAAAAGUCCAGAAGGAGCUAGAGAUAUUAUGAACACUGCACCAGAACACUGGAGUAGAGCAUACUUCAAACUAGGCUCAUGGUGUGAUUCAGUUGAGAAUAAUAUGUGUGAAUCAUUCAACAAUGCAAUUAUGAGGUCAAGGUUUUACCCUGUCAUCACAUCACAUGAGAUCAUUAGAAAGAAGAUGAUGGCACGGAUA
rnacentral:rRNA from 1 species